ACGUGAUACUCACGUAUUAAAAACCCACCGAGAAAAUGUUAUUCUAUCCUAUUGUUGGAUGCAGGUAGACGAAAUGAGGGAAUGCUAUGGGUCGCCAUUCGAUAAAAAGAUUGUACACCCUAACUCAUUAGUUGUUCUUAGGUCCGCCCUGGAGCUUGCACUGACAAAUAGUUGACGAGUUACGACUGCUUAUUAAGCCUGUAGCAUAGCUUGCAGAUCGUAAUGAAAUUAUUCAAAACUACUAUUUAAUUAUUAUUUACUGAUUUGUAUGUUUAUAUAAAUUCCUAACUUCGGUUGGUUGUAGUUUAUGUAGAUGUCGUAUAUUACUAAUACGAAACAACUCUUAGCAACGGAUAUCUUGGUUCU
rnacentral:misc_RNA from 1 species